ACAGUCUUCGCUGUGACGGCUGCGGUAACAGCGGCAUGUCUUUGGCACAGAGGGUCUUCCUCGCUGAACCUGGUAGUAGCUGUAACUGUAAUCUCUGCGGCCUGAAACCACACAUGAUCUCAAUUAGGCUCAUCUGAAACGUGUUGACUAAAUUGCAAGGACAGGAGGGGAGGAUGGACCCCAGAGGGUGAGCUGGCACGGUCUGCUGUCUGAGAUAUUCCUAGUCCAUGAAGCGCUGAGCUGGGAAUCUGGGCGUUUUUUUUUUUUUUUAUAGGGAACACAGUGUUCCAACACUGACUGCUCCUCAACCACUCUUCCUUAAAGGUAGUGUCUGAAGGAAGUUGUUGGUAAACACAAAGACUGAACUGUUCCUUUUCACCGACAGGAAAACUGUCCUCAGUAACUUAACGCAGUCAACUUUAACAAACAAAAGUAACAGUUUAGUUUUCCACCAUGAAGAUGUUGACUUGAUCUGUAGAACCAACCUCCAGCAGCUAAGCUAAAGUUGUCCUAGCCUGAGUGCUACGGCGCUAAGAUCCCGUUAGCAGGAUAUUUUAAAUAAUUAUUUUUAAAAAAAAUUGACUCUUAUGCGGCCCAAUAUGGAGAGUUUUUGCAACAGACACAGGCUGCCACCGGAGGCGCCAUUAAGUACAGGCCGCAGUAUGAAAGGUGCCUUUACGGAUAUGUGGUUCCUGUGGGAAUCAAACCCAGGACUUUCUGCUUGCAAGGCAGGUGUGCUAACCCCUACACCAUGGAAUUAGCAUAUUAUAAAAACAUUGCAACAAUUUUACCAAAAAAAAACAAACAAAAAAAACCCUACACUUCAAUCACUUUCUGUGUUUCGAUGAUUGAUUGAUCCUGGACGGAUAAAGAAAAUAAAGUCUCUCUGAGACAGCGCUCGCUGCACGUCUACUCUACACCUGAGGUUUCCUCUGGUCAAUACUUUGUCCACCUUUUUGCUUAGCAGCUGAAGUCCACUAGUCCACAGUCAAGCGUGUAACCAUAGGUAGGAGCGACGCUGUGCCUCAUUUGAUUACGGGAGAAACUGAUUUUGUUGUUGACCCCGGGGCGUGUCACAGGCCGCCUUGUGUUUGUAAUGGUGCGCAGGGUAAUGUGUUUGUGUGUCCACAUGUGGUGGCUGGCAAUGGGGAGAUGCAAAUCCAGGCGCUCACCUGUGAAAUGUUUACUCAAGCUUGAUGCAAACCGUGACGGCCAGCGCCCGGGGAAUGGCGUCUCAGGCAAAUGAGCGGAGGGAAGGAGGAGAGCGAGGAGCGAAGCCUCGGGGGCUCGUACGGCACUCGGUUGUUUGUUAUUUUGUUGUUGUUUUGUUAUUUGAAAACUCCUUUCAGCAUUUAAUAACAUUUGUGAUUUACUGACGGGACGUUUUGAACGGCUGCCAUGAGCGUGCGUUCGCAGGAUCGGUAACAAUAAUGACAUGACAGCGUAACGCGCUCUACAGGCCAAAGAAGAGAAGAUCCAAAUGAACACAAAUGACCACGGGCUGUUUAUCUAAGCAGCAGGGCUCGCAGGCCGAAACAUCGUGUCGAAUGCAAAUGACAAUCACAGUCUGCGCCGCGACACCGUGGCCGCCGGCGCCUCAGCUGUUUGGUAAUUUGUCAUGUGGGGUUUUGCAUGUGUGCGACGUUUGCACCGAAGAUUUCCAGGAACGAGUGACUCUGCAAACGAGCUGAACGUGAUUGACUGUGUCGAGUGUAAUCUCUGAGCUGAUUUGUUGAAGCUAACGAUGGUUGGUCGCGCCUGAAGAAGAAGAAGA